UGACUUGAGUGCAGAANGGGAGAGUGGAAUUCCAUGNGUAGCGGUGAAAUGCGUAGAUAUAUGGAGGAACACCAGUGGCGAAAGCGGCUCUCUGGUCUGUCACUGACGCUGAGGCUNGAAAGCGUGGGUAGCGAACAGGAUUAGAUACCCUGGUAGUCCACGCCGUAAACGAUGAGUGCUAGGUGUUAGGCCCUUUCCGGGGCUUAGUGCCGAAGCUAACGCAAUAAGCACUCCGCCUGGGGAGUACGACCGCAAGGUUGAAACUCAAAGGAAUUGACGGGGGCCCGCACAAGCGGUGGAGCAUGUGGUUUAAUUCGAAGCAACGCGAAGAACCUUACCAGGUCUUGACAUCCCGAUGCUAUUCUUAGAGAUAGGAAGUUACUUCGGUACAUCGGAGACAGGUGGUGCAUGGUUGUCGUCAGCUCGUGUCGUGAGAUGUUGGGUUAAGUCCCGCAACGAGCGCAACCCUUAUUGUUAGUUGCCAUCAUUAAGUUGGGCACUCUAGCGAGACUGCCGGUAAUAAACCGGAGGAAGGUGGGGAUGACGUCAAAUCAUCAUGCCCCUUAUGACCUGGGCUACACACGUGCUACAAUGGUCGGUACAACGAGUUGCGAGCCGGUGACGGCAAGCUAAUCUCUGAAAGCCGAUCUCAGUUCGGAUUGGAGGCUGCAACUCGCCUCCAUGAAGUCGGAAUCGCUAGUAAUCGCGGAUCAGCACGCCGCGGUGAAUACGUUCCCGGGCCUUGUACACACCUCCCGUCACACCACGAGAGUUNGUAACACCCGAAGUCGG
rnacentral:rRNA from 1 species